rnacentral:rRNA from 1 species
UGGGGAAUUUUGGACAAUGGGCGCAAGCCUGAUCCAGCCAUGCCGCGUGCGGGAAGAAGGCCUUCGGGUUGUAAACCGCUUUUGUCAGGGAAGAAAUCUUCUGAGUUAAUACCUCGGGAGGAUGACGGUACCUGAAGAAUAAGCACCGGCUAACUACGUGCCAGCAGCCGCGGUAAUACGUAGGGUGCAAGCGUUAAUCGGAAUUACUGGGCGUAAAGCGUGCGCAGGCGGUUUUGUAAGACAGAGGUGAAAUCCCCGGGCUCAACCUGGGAACUGCCUUUGUGACUGCAAGGCUUGAGUGCGGCAGAGGGGGGAUGGAAUUCCGCGUGUAGCAGUGAAACGCGUAGAUAUGCGGAGGAACACCGAUGGCGAAGGCAAUCCCCUGGGCCUGCACUGACGCUCAUGCACGAAAGCGUGGGGAGCAAACAGGAUUAGAUACCCUGGUAGUCCACGCCCUAAAACGAUGUCAACUGGUUGUUGGGAAGGUUCCUUCUCAGUAACGUAGCUAACGCGUGAAGUUGACCGCCUGGGGAGUACGGCCGCAA